AAUAUAUUUACAUAUGUGAUUAUCAUGGAAAAUAUGAAAACAUUUAUGUCAGUAGGUAGCCAGUUUGCUUUCCAUCUUGCACACUAUUCCUGAUAACUUCAGUAGAAUUAACUCGUUCCACUCUAUCAGAUAGAAGAGGGAAGGAGAAAUGCUUAUCCCAUAUUUAGAGUUGACAGAGCAGAAACAAAAAGUAAAAUGAGGAGGGGAGAGGAAGAGAGGGAGGGAGGAAGGGAGUGAGGUGGGGAGAUAAAUGGUGAGCAAGCAAGCACAAAGUAUUUAGAUUGAUUGGGAGAGAGAGAGAGAUCUACCUGCUGACCAGGAGCAAUUCCCAUUAUUGAACAAAAAGCAAGAAGUGUGACUGGGAAGCUUCUGGGACUUAAUUUCAGUAGAAAAAAAAAUUGCAGAGGAAAAAAGCACAGAAAACUCCUAAAAUAUCAAUACAUAAUAUGGAUAAGAACACCUCAUUUAGAUAAACUGAGUAAUUAAUUACUGAAACAAAAACCAAGACCGUCAUCUGUGAAACAGCUUAUUUUACACAAUUAAUUAUUCUCUGUCAUAUGGUUGAACACAGACCAAUUGUAAAGAGAGACUACUGUGGAGCAGUUUUGAACAGAAGAACUUGUGCUGAACACUGACAUUCCAUCUCUGAGAGAAAUCAUUGAAGAUAUUUAGAUUUCAGGAGUACUUUUGUUUGGCUGAAUAAAGACAAGACUAUGCCAGGAAUAGAUUAGAUGCUAUUAUCCACUUUGGAAAUUCGUUAUACCAGUUGUCCUCUGAUGAAAACAUGGCAGAUGUAUUCUCAUUGCUUCAACCCACUCCUUGAAGACAUCCUGAUUCUUUC
rnacentral:lncRNA from 1 species